AGAUUGAACGCUGGCGGCAUGCCUUACACAUGCAAGUCGAACGGCAGCACGGGAGCAAUCCUGGUGGCGAGUGGCGAACGGGUGAGUAAUACAUCGGAACGUGCCCAGUUGUGGGGGGAUAGCCCGGCGAAAGCCGGAUUAAUACCGCAUACGACCUACGGGUGAAAGCGGGGGAUCGCAAGACCUCGCGCUAUUGGAGCGGCCGAUGUCGGAUUAGCUUGUUGGUAGGGUAAAAGCCUACCAAGGCUACGAUCCGUAGCUGGUCUGAGAGGACGACCAGCCACACUGGGACUGAGACACGGCCCAGACUCCUACGGGAGGCAGCAGUGGGGAAUUUGGACAAUGGGCGCAAGCCUGAUCCAGCCAUGCCGCGUGCGGGAAGAAGGCCUUCGGGUUGUAAACCGCUUUGUCAGGAAGAACGGUUCGAGCUAAUACCUUGAGCUAAUGACGUACUAGAAGAAUAAGCACCGACUAACUACGU
rnacentral:rRNA from 1 species